rnacentral:rRNA from 1 species
CUUUACUGUAGCCUGGAAUUGGGUUCGGGCUUUAAUUGCGCAGUAUAGGUGGGAGGCAUUGAAGGAGAUCUUGUGGGAUCUUUGGAGCCGAUCGUGAGAUACCACUCUUUUAAAGCUCGGAUUCUCACUCUUUUCCGUAAGCCGGGAAGAGGACACUCCCAGGUGGGCAGUUUGACUGGGGCGGUCGCCUCCUAAAAGGUAACGGAGGCGCACAAAGGUUUCCUCAGAUCGGAUAGAAAUCAAUCGUAGAGUGUAAAGGCAGAAGGAAGCUUGACUGCGAGACGGACAAGUCGAGCAGGGACGAAAGUCGGUCUUAGUGAUCCGACGAUCCUGAGUGGAAAGGUCGUCGCUCAACGGAUAAAAGUUA